AAGACUAUAGACCUGCGGAGUACCUGCGGAGGGAUCAUUAACGAAUGAUCAUCCUUGAUCUUCUUACCUUCAAACCACUGUGGAAUGUAACAUGUGCUUCGGCGCCGAAUGGCGCCGUCUUUAUGCUUCAACAAUGCCUUUUGUGUCAGACAAAUCAAAAAAAUCAAAACUUUUAACAACGGAUCUCU
rnacentral:misc_RNA from 1 species